GCCGUUUGGCGGGGCGGGCCAAUCGGCGCGGCUCUUGCUGGGAGGUGGCGAGGGUGACAUUGGGGGGGUGCGGAGGUGCCAUCAUGCUGGCGUCGCUGGGGCGCUCGGCCGGGCGGCGGCUGCUGCGGGCCGGGAGCGGCGGCACCGGGCUGCGGCGGGCGGGCGGCGGCGUGCACAUCAAGCCGCGGUACCGGCAGUUCCCGGAGCUGACGCGGGCGCAGGUGGUGCGGAGCGAGGUCCUCAGCGGCUUCAUGUGGUUCUGGAUCCUCUGGCACUUCUGGCACAGCUCGGACAUGGUGCUGGGCCACUUCCCCUACCCCGACCCUUCGGCCUGGACGGACGCGGAGCUCGGAAUCCCGCCGGACGACGCGGAAUAGGCGCCCCCGGCAGCGCAGCGCACCGGUACGGCCCCGCCGCCCCUCCCCGCACCGGCCCGGCGGCUGCGGCGGGGCCGGGCUGGGCUUUGAGCGGCGCACGCAGAGCCUGGGUCGCGCUGCAGCCCUGCUUCAGAGCCCCCGGCUCUGCCUGCUGGCCGCCGCCUCUUGGUGCUGCUGGAGGUGCCCCGCUUUCAGCAAUCAUUUGUCCACUUCCAAAGGUCCCUGGAACUAAAGAGGUCCCUGGAACUAAAGCUUUGGCUCCUUGGUCCUUAGUUCAAUAAAAUUUACCUGUAAACAA